AGUGAACGCUGGCGGUAGGCCUAACACAUGCAAGUCGAACGGCAGCACAGUAAGAGCUUGCUCUUACGGGUGGCGAGUGGCGGACGGGUGAGGAAUACAUCGGAAUCUACUUUUUCGUGGGGGAUAACGUAGGGAAACUUACGCUAAUACCGCAUACGACCUACGGGUGAAAGCAGGGGAUCUUCGGACCUUGCGCGAUUGAAUGAGCCGAUGUCGGAUUAGCUAGUUGGCGGGGUAAAGGCCCACCAAGGCGACGCUCCGUAGCUGGUCUGAGAGGGUGAUCAGCCACACUGGAACUGAGACACGGUCCAGACUCCUACGGGAGGCAGCAGUGGGGAAUAUUGGAGAAUGGGCGCAAGCCUGAUCCAGCCAUACCGCGUGGGUGAAGAAGGCCUUCGGGUUGUAAAGCCCUUUUGUUGGGAAAGAAAAGCAGCAGGUUAAUACCCCGCUGUUCUGACGGUACCCAAAGAAUAAGCACCGGCUAACUUCGUG
rnacentral:rRNA from 1 species